rnacentral:lncRNA from 1 species
AUAUUUUAUAAAUUCUCCUCUGAAAUCAUCAGUCUAUCAUGAAUAUGAUCCAAAUUUCACUGCUGCAAGUCUUGAUGAAGCAUACUUAGAUAUCACAAAAGUCUGCAAGGAAAGGGAUUUAUCAGGUGGAGAAGUAAGUCAAAUUUUUUUUCUUUCUUUUCAUAUAUAUUGAAAAAAAAUACAAAUUGUAAGUCUUUUUUUAAUUUUCAUAUUUAUAAAAAGGUUGCUGAAGAGCUUAGAGAAAAUGUGUAUAAAGCUACUGGAUUAACAUGUAGUGCUGGAGUUGCUCCAAAUCGGUUACUUGCAAAAGUUUGCUCAGAUAUAAACAAACCAAACGGGCAGUUUGUUUUACCUAAUGAUCGGGUUGCUAUAAUGACAUUUAUAUCCUCACUUCCUAUACGAAAGGUACUGCAUAAUUACUUAUAUACCCUUUUACCCUAAUUUCACUUUUUUUCUUACUUUGAUUGGAUCUUUAAUCUUUUAGAUUGGGGGAAUUGGUAAAGUGACAGAAACUAUCUUAAAAGAUGUAUUUGAGAUCAAGACAUGUGAAGAUUUGUUGCAGAAAAGCUCCUUACUUUUUGCACUAUUCUCUCCUUCAUCUGCAGGUAUUGUGUUUUUGAAGUUUUAAUUUUUGUUGGUAAAAAGACGAUACUACCCCUGAUGGUUUUUGUACAAUGUAGAGUUUUUUGUGUCUGUAGGGUUAGGACUUGGGGGAACAGAAGCACCGAAUGUUAGAUCACGAAAAAGUAUGAGCAAUGAGAGAACAUUUUCUGCAACUAAAGACGAGGCCUUUUUUAAUCAGAAAUUAGGUGAUUUAUCUUUUAUUAUAUUAUCAUUUAUGAGAGUUUAUAUUUUAUAUUUCUUUACAGAAUUUUAUAUUUGUUAAAAUUCAAUUUGCAGUUGAACUUUCGGAGAUGCUUUCUGCUGACAUGGAGAAAGAAGAUCUACAUGGAAAGACACUGACACUCAAACUAAAAACCGCAUCAUUUGAGGUACACAGUUUCUUCCUUUUUUGAUAGAAGGGCAUUUUCGUCUUUUUCAGGAUAAAAAUUUUGAAAAUUUUAGGUGAGAACUCGAGCGAUGACUUUGCAAAGUUAUAUAAGGUCAAGUAAAGAUAUACUGAAACAUGCUUCAAAGCUUCUCAAGGCUGAACUUCCUGUAUCACUUAGAUUAAUCGGUAAUGUUUAUUGUGUGAAAAUUAAAUAAUAAUAUUUAUUAUCGAUAAUAAAGAAAAUGUUUUUUUUUUUUUGUAGGAUUACGUAUGUCUCAUUUCAAUGAAGAUAAAGGUGGUAGUGGUGUAUCUGAUCCUACACAAAGAACUCUUUUGAAUUUUAUAAAAUCUGGAGAAUCUAACAAGGAAACUGUAGUUGAUGAAGAGAAUUCAGAUCCAUGUUUUGAGCAUUUUUCUGAAAUUGAUGAUCAGAAUAUUUGCAGUUUAAAUGAUGAUCAUGAGAAUUUACAAGUUAUAGAAACAUGUUGUUCAGAUAAUAAUAAUGAAACAGGGCCUUCAUCAUCAUCAUCAUUGAUGUGGUUGGAUGAUUAUAAGUGUUUGGUAUGUGGGAUUGAAUUGCCUCCAAGUUUUGUGGAAGAAAGACAAGAGCAUUCUGAUUUUCAUCUUGCUCAAAAACUUCAACAAGAAGAAGAAUCAGAACAAACUUACAAAAAUCUUUCAUUCAAACAUAGGUAUAUUAUAUGUUAUAUUGUUACACAGAACAAAACAGAACAGAACAGGUUGUACUGUGUUUAGCUGUAGUUUGUUUGACUUGUGUUGUGUGUCAGGAUGAUGAGUCAGAAAGAUGGUGGUGUUGAGAAAGGAAAAGGAAAGAAGAAGCAAAAACAUGCUGUUACAAAUGGUGACCAUAUUCCCAUUGAUGCAUUUUUUACAAAAAGGAGUUAGAAUUUAUAGUAUUUUAUUUUAUAUUUAUAUGUAAAAUAAUCCAACAAUUAAUAAUUUAACAUGUGUAUAUCUUGUUCAUAGUUAAUGAUUGUGAUCAUUGUUCCAAAAAGCACAUGAAAAUUUAUGGUUACCAAGAGGAAUAGAUUGUGUAAAAUUUUAACUUAUGUAAGUGUGUUCUUUUUUUGACUUGAUAUUAAAAGAUCGACUAUGAUUUUUUUUUUCUCGUAUUGACUAGUUGUUUCUAUUUCUGUUAUCUUAAUUGGUCUCUAUCAAAGUUUAGAUGUUAAUUUUAUAAAAUGAUAAAAUGAUGUAUAUAUCAUUAAUAAUACUUUCUAAAUUUCUGACAAUAAACUAUCACUUAAAGAAUGAUUUUCUAUUUUGUUGCGAAUAUCAAUCUUUAUCAACUUCAUUGUUGAAAACACAUGUUCCACAUUUGUUGUUGCAACAUGCAAGAAUAAUACAAACUAUAGGAAAGAGUACAAAGCAAAAGACAAUGCAGCCACAACUUAAGUUGUUUUUUUUUUUUUUUAUAAUUAUCUUGUCGCUUGUAGGGAGACCCAAUAAUGUUUCAAAAUCAAGAAACUAUACUUGGAAAAAGUUGAAGCGUCACUAGACGCAGUCAACUGAAACAUUCAAACAAAUACAAUAUUCUUUUUUUGUAAGGCAGUUUGUUUCUUAAAAACAUAUAUGAUUGACUUUGUUUGGUAAUUUGGUUCAUCAAAUUUUAACAUAUUUGGACGACAAUAUUGUGUGGAUUUUCAACUUUGUGAAGAUUUAGUCUUGAUUUCCUAUUCCACACUUUGAAUCCAGAUUUCACCAGAGAAUCCAAUCCACCUUGAUUUUAUAUAUUAGAUUUGAAUAGAUAACAACAUAAGCGGCAUUUUAUUUUAUACUAUAUUCUCAUCAAUAUUUAUUACAUCAAACCAAGAUAGAUUAAAUCUUCGAGUUUUACCUCCAAAAUGACGUGGAAAAUCAUGGUUUUGGGGUUGACAAUAUCUUUUUUGCAAGUAUGCUCUUCUAAUUUCAUUUCUUUGAUUCACAUGAUAAUAUUUCAUACUUGGUCGUUCUAUAAGAUCAACAUGUAGUGAAUUUAAAUCAAAUUUCAUGUACUUAUGUCAAAAAUAUAAAAGUAUCAACUUCUCAUUAAAAAACAAGAUAAAUCUCACUACACAGAUCCUAUUGUUCUAUUAUUCUACCCUAACAAAGAUCAAGAACAAAAAAACCCUAACUAAGAGUUCUAAGAGAUAAAAAAACAGACAGAGCAUCAGAUAGAUAGAGAUGACAAUCUCAACCCGAACCUACCAACCCAAUCUAAACCCAACCCAAUAAAUAACAGGAUGGGUUGAGAUUUUAAACCCGUUUAACUAAAUGGGUCAAUCCAUCUAACCUGUUUAAUUAAAUGGGUUGGAUUAGGGUUGAAAUUCCUAACCCGUUUACAACCCGUUAACCCAUUUAAAACUUUUAAAUAUUUUUUAAUUUUUAUUUAUUUGGUAUUAUUAUUUAGUUGAUCAUUAUAUUUUGAUUAUUUUUAUUUAUCAAAAACCAUGGAUCAAUAACCGUUACUAGAAUUUGAGUUGGUAAAAGUAAUAAUCAAGUUACGUAGAAUUUAAUAAUUAAAUAUUUAUAAUGUUUUAUGAUUAUAAACACUUGAUUUUUAUUUGUGUUAUGGGGUUAUAAACUUAUUGUUGUAUUAUUUUCAAACUUAACAAUUAUUAUAUUUUUUAUAUUGUAUGUAAUUUUAUUUGAUGUACUAUUUUAUUUAUAAGGAGUUUUUUGUGAACAUUGAAACGAGUUAAUCCAGGUUUAAUCUGUGUAAUAAAUAGGUUGGGUUGAGAAAAUAAUAUACAGGUCAACCCGAUUUCAACCUAUUUACUAAAAAUGUUGGGUUGGGUUAAGUUGCGAAUUCUCAACCGGUUUACUUAAACAUGUUGGGUUGAGUAAGGAUUUCAAACUCAUUUAAUUAAACAGGUCAACACGUUUAUGACCCAACCCAUUGCCACCCCUAUAGAUAGAUAGUAUGGAAAGUAUAUUAUGAGAUCAAAAUGAAAACCAAACUCUUUUUACUAUAUAGCAUCUAUGAAUACAUUAUGCCUCACUAUACAUAUGAUUACAAUCGUAUCAUUUAAGCGGGAAUAGAGAUGUCAAAAAGUCGUGUGAGACUCCGAUCUUGUAUGGGAGAUAUUUGUUUAAUAAACCAGGGACGGGGCGAGGUGGGGACAAUGUUAAUCUCCGUUUUAUUUUCGGGGGCGGGGGCGGGGGUGCGCAGUUCCGUCCCANNNNNNNNNNNNNNNNNNNNNNNNNNNNNNNNNNNNNNNNNNNNNNNNNNNNNNNNNNNNNNNNNNNNNNNNNNNNNNNNNNNNNNNNNNNNNNNNNNNNNNGUGAACUUUCAAAUUAAACAAAAUACCAUGUUUGUAAAUUGUUAGUAUAACGUUGUGAGAUGUUACAAUAUUUUUGUUUUUAACAUGGAAAAUUAUGGUUUAUAUAACUAUUUUUUAACAAAAAAAAUAGUUUCUUUUAACCCAAAAAAGACAACAAAACAGAGGGAGAGGGGAGGACAGAAAUUUCAUGGGCGAGGACGGGACAGGGGAAUAGAAAAAUUUUGGGGAUGAGGACGGGGGAUCUAACUUUAGCCUCGUUUGUCUCCGUUAAUCUCUAAGAGGGAUACAAGUUUUUAAAGUUGCAUCUCUACUUUGACAAAAAUACCCAGCAGCCCCUCAACCUUUAGUGCCAAGUUCCAAAAAUGUGCAACAUUAGUCCCCAACAAACUUGCACUAACAAGAUUAAGUAGGUAACAUCCACACUUGUUAGGUGAUUAAGAUUGUAAGGAAAUAGACAUUAUUUCUAACAUGCUCAUCUUUCAUAUAUUGUUUUUUUUUUUCAUUCUUUUCUAAAUCUUGAACAAAAACAUUAUGGAUUCUGAUUUUUGACACAAUCAAUUCUGAUUUUUUUUGUAACAAAGGACAAUUGACAAAUCUACAUUCGAAGUACCAAAGAACUAAAGAAGUAUCAUUGUUUCAUUAGCAAACAAAUGAACAAUCAUUCAAUCAAUAUUUUUGUUAUGAUUUAUAGGCCUCAAGAAUCAAAGACAAAACAACAAUCACAAUUUUCACAAUCAAUCUUAGUUUUUGAUUCUUAAUUCUUAGUGAGGCUCAAGACAAAGUGAUAAUUGACAAUGAAAAACUUAGAGGGUGGAGGCUUGAACCAUAGCAUGUGUGCAAUGUCGAAGUUGGAACAGCCGAAGGGAAGUCAGAGUUUCGAUUGGCAUUUCAAUAGAUUAUAAAAUACUUGGAUUUAAUAACCGCAUAAAAACACAAAAGAUGUAUAAGAAACAUUAAAAAUAUAUUUUUUGUUUACCUAAAAACCUUGGUGUCCAAAAAAGUUUAGGAUAAUCAUAUUGUAACACAGAAAAAAAUUAACUUAACCGGUGAAACCUGUUAAACCCGAUCAUAAAGAUAUAAACAGAACAAAAAAAGUUUGUUCCUUACAUUAAUUAUGUAAUGUAUUUUUUUUUAAAGCGACGAAAAAACAAGGAUUCUAUCACAUGUACAAAAAGUCAACAAUUCGACGUGACCUCUCGUUAGUGGUAUGGAAUUUAUCUAUACUUCCCAUUUGAUCACAUUUAUUCAUGAAAUCAAUAAAUAAAUUAAAAAACACGUAUUUUUUGUUUGGUGAAACUUAUUAUUAUUUGUUAAUACUGACAAAACAGCAUAUGCUUCACGAGGCAAUUAUUUAUCUUUAUUCACCUUGAUUUUGGGGUCCCAAAAAAAAAGUCUCAAAAAGAUUCUAUCACAUUCACAAUCACAUGUGCUUAAUAAGAUAAGAUCUAGAGUAUAGACCCCCAUUCACUUCUGGAUCUUAAAAACCCAACACUCAAUGAAGACACUCAUUAUAAUCUUUCUUCUUCCAUGCAUUUUGCUACUCCUAGGUUACUAUGUGUGUUUUUUACGUGUUUUUGUAGGUGUAUUUGCUCAUUUUAUCGAUCUAUCUUUAAAAUAUUUUUAUUUUAUGCAGUUCAUGCCCAAGUCAAUGAUGAUAGCUUUGACCCGUAUGCAACGUUAUUCAGUCCUUAUACUAAACAAGAAUGGCGAUCUUAUCAAGAAAAGAAGAUCAAUGAGGUAAAUUAGUCGUUUUAAAUAAUCUUAUUGAACUUUGGUUAAUUCAAAAUUUGUUAUUAGGGACGAAAAACAGAGUUAACUUUCGAGGUAAGUUAUGUAAAUGGAACAAAAGUCAGAGGGGCAAAACUGUACAUAAAGCAACUCACCUCCGAUUUCCACUGGGGUUGUGGAAUGACUCAUAGAAUCCUCAACAACACUGCUUACAAAAAAUGGUUUGCUUCAAGAUUCACAGCUGCAGAUUUCCACAAUGAGCUCAAAUGGUAUUGGACUGAAGCAACUCAGGGACAAGAAAACUACGCAGAUCCAGACGCCAUGAUCAAAUUUGCAGAUGAACACGGGAUAAUCGUGAGAGGGCAUACGAUCUUAUGGGACGAUGUGAAAUACAACCAAAAAUGGGUGAGAAAAUUAUCACCUGAACAAUUGUUGGAAGCAGCAAACAGAAGAGUUGAUUCGGUGGUGAAUCGAUAUAAGGGAAGGUUGAUUGGUUGGGAUGUGAUGAACGAGAAUCUGCAUCAUAACUUCUUCGAGAAGAGACU